rnacentral:rRNA from 1 species
UACGAAGGGGGCUAGCGUUGUUCGGAAUUACUGGGCGUAAAGCGUGCGCAGGCGGCUUCUCAAGUCAGGGGUGAAAGCCCAGAGCUCAACUCUGGAAUUGCCUUUGAGACUGAGUGGCUUGAGUACGAGAGAGGUGAGUGGAAUUCCCAGUGUAGAGGUGAAAUUCGUAGAUAUUGGGAAGAACACCGGUGGCGAAGGCGGCUCACUGGCUCGUAACUGACGCUCAUGCACGACAGCGUGGGGACCAAACAGG